AAUUAGCAUCAUUUUUUGUCGAGCCGUAGGAGGAGAAAACCUCCUAUA
rnacentral:tRNA from 1 species